UACGUAGGGGGCAAGCGUUGUCCGGAUUUAUUGGGCGUAAAGAGCGUGUAGGCGGCUUUACAGGUCCGUUGUGAAAACUCGAGGCUCAACCUCGAGACGCCGGUGGAAACCGUAAAGCUAGAGUCCGGAAGAGGAGAGUGGAAUUCCUGGUGUAGCGGUGAAAUGCGCAGAUAUCAGGAGGAACACCGGUGGCGAAGGCGGGUCUCUGGGCAACAACUGACGCUGAGGAGCGAAAGCGUGGGGAGCGAACAGG
rnacentral:rRNA from 1 species